CCGGUGGUGACCUGGAAAGUGGGGUCGUUCAGGCCGAUCCAGCCCGCACCGGCUCCCGCGUUCGGGUCGGUGUCACAGGC
rnacentral:tRNA from 1 species